UUCCAGACUCCUACGGGAGGCAGCAGUGGGGGAUAUUGCACAAUGGGGGGAACCCCGAUGCAGCGACGCCGCGUGAAGGAAGAAGUAUCUCGGUAUGUAAACUUCUAUCAGCAGGGAAGAAAAUGACGGUACCUGACUAAGAAGCCCCGGCUAACUACGUGCCAGCAGCCGCGGUAAUACGUAGGGGGCAAGCGUUAUCCGGAUUUACUGGGUGUAAAGGGAGCGUAGACGGCGAAGAAAGUCUGAAGUGAAAGCCCGCGGCUUAACCGCGGGACUGCUUUGGAAACUUUUUUGCUGGAGUACCGGAGAGGUAAGCGGAAUUCCUAGUGUAGCGGUGAAAUGCGUAGAUAUUAGGAGGAGCACCAGUGGCGAAGGCGGCUUACUGGACGGUAACUGACGUUGAGGCUCGAAAGCGUGGGGAGCAAACAGGAUUAGAUACCCGUG
rnacentral:rRNA from 1 species